rnacentral:rRNA from 1 species
CGCGAAUUCGCCCUUCGGGGUGCAGCAGGCGCGAAAACUUUGCAAUACACGAAAGUGUGACAGGGUCAUCCCGAGUGCCGACCGCUGAGGUUGGCUUUUACCCAGUCUAGAAAGCUGGGGGAAUAAGGAGAGGGCAAGUCUGGUGUCAGCCGCCGCGGUAAUACCAGCUCUCCGAGUGGUGUGGACGUUUAUUGGGCCUAAAGCAUCCGUAGCUGGCUGAACAAGUCCCCUGUUUAACCCACCGAUUUAAUCGUUGGUCUGCGGGGGAUACUGCUCGGCUAGGGGACGAGAGAGGCAGACGGUAUUCCCGGGGUAGGGGUGAAAUCCUAUAAUCCCGAGAAGACCACCAGUGGCGAAGGCUGUCUGCUAGAACGCGCCCGACGGUGAGGGAUGAAAGCUGGGGGAGCGAACCGGAUUAGAUACCCGGGUAGUCCCAGCUGUAAACGAUGCAGACUAGGUGUUUGGACGGCCACGUGCCGUUCUAGUGCCGCAGGGAAGCUGUUAAGUCUGCCGCCUGGGGAGUACGAUCGCAAGAUUGAAACUUAAAGGAAUUGGCGGGGGAGCAC